rnacentral:misc_RNA from 1 species
UCUCCGUUGGUGAACCAGCGGGGGGAUCUUUAGAGAGUUAUCUAACUCCCAAACCCAUGUGAAUUUACAAUUUGUUGCCUCGGCAGAGCCUACCCGGUAACUGUUCGGAGAAGCUACCCUGUAGCUACCCUGUAACGGCCUACCCUGUAACGCACUGCCGGUGGACUUUUAAACUCUUGUUAUUUUAUAGUAAUCUGAGCGUCUUAUUUUAAUAAGUCAAAACUUUCAACAACGGAUCUCUUGGUUCUGGCAUCGAUGAAGAACGCAGC